rnacentral:rRNA from 1 species
AAUGGAAUAGGACGCAUGGUUCUAUUUUGUUGGUUUCUAGGACCAUCGUAAUGAUUAAUAGGGACGGUCGGGGGCAUCAGUAUUCAGUCGUCAGAGGUGAAUUUCUUGGAUUGACUGAAGACUAACUACUGCGAAAGCAUUUGCCAAGGACGUUUUCAUUAAUCAAGAACGAAAGUUAGGGGAUCGAAGAUGAUCAGAUACCGUCGUAGUCUUAACCAUAAACUAUGCCGACUAGGGAUCGGGUGGUGCUACUUUGCCCACUCGGCACCUUACGAGAAAUCAAAGUUUUUGGGUUCUGGGGGGAGUAUGGUCGCAAGGCUGAAACUUAAAGGAAUUGACGGAAGGGCACCACCAGGAGUGGAGCCUGCGGCUUAAUUUGACUCAACACGGGGAAACUCACCAGGUCCAGACGUAAUAAGGAUUGACAAGUUAGAGACUUCUCUUGAUCUUACGGGUGGUGGUGCAUGGCCGUUUUUAGUCCUUGGAGUGAUUUGUCUGCUUAAUUGCGAUAACGGACGAGACCUUAACCUGCUAAAUAGGGCUGCGAGCAUCUGCUCGGGUGCUCUUCUUAGAGGGACUAUGGGUAUCAAACCCAUGGAAGUUUGAGGCAACAACAGGUCUGUGAUGCCCUUAGACGUUCUGGGCCGCACGC